rnacentral:misc_RNA from 1 species
UUAAGUUCAGCGGGUAUUCCUACCUGAUCCGAGGUCAACCUUGUAAAAUUUGGGGGUUUUACGGCCGGAACAAGCCACGACUUCCAGGGCGAUAUGUUACUACUGCGCCCGGAGUUAUAGCGAGCCCGCCACUGAUUUUGGGGGCCCACGGUGUCCCGUGGUGCCCCAACACCAAGCAGAGCUUGAGGGUUGAAAUGACG